GACAGAGGGUGCAAACGUUGUUCGGAAUUACUGGGCGUAAAGCGCGUGUAGGCUGCUUCGCAAGUCGGGUGUGAAAGCCCUGGGCUCAACCUAGGAAGUGCACUCGAAACUGCGGAGCUUGAGUCCUGGAGAGGAAGGCGGAAUUCUCGGUGUAGAGGUGAAAUUCGUAGAUAUCGAGAGGAACACCGGUGGCGAAGGCGGCCCUUCUGGACCAACACUGACACUGAGGAGCGAAAGCCAGGGGAGCAAACGGG
rnacentral:rRNA from 1 species